rnacentral:rRNA from 1 species
AACGAACGCUGGCGGCAUGCCUAACACAUGCAAGUCGAACGAGACCUUCGGGUCUAGUGGCGCACGGGUGCGUAACGCGUGGGAACCUGCCCUUAGGUUCGGAAUAACUCCCCGAAAGGGGUGCUAAUACCGGAUAAUGUCUUCGGACCAAAGAUUUAUCGCCUUUGGAUGGGCCCGCGUUGGAUUAGCUAGUUGGUAGGGUAAAAGCCUACCAAGGCGACGAUCCAUAGCCGGUCUGAGAGGAUGAUCAGCCACACUGGGACUGAGACACGGCCCAGACUCCUACGGGAGGGAGCAGUGGGGAACAUUGGACAAUGGGCGAAAGCCUGAUCCAGCAAUGCCGCGUGAGUGAUGAAGGCCUUAGGGUUGUAAAGCUCUUUUACCCGGGAUGAUAAUGACAGUACCGGGAGAAUAAGCUCCGGCUAACUCCGUG